GACGUAGGGGGCCAGCGUUGUUCGGAAUUACUGGGUGUAAAGGGUUCGUAGGCGGUGCGGCAAGUCGGGAGUGAAAUCUCUGGGCUUAACCCAGAGGCUGCUUCCGAAACUGCUGUGCUUGAGUGUGGGAGAGGCGCGUGGAAUUGCAGGUGUAGCGGUGAAAUGCGUAGAUAUCAGGAGGAACACCGAUGGCGAAGGCAGGUCUCUGGGCCACUACUGACGCUGAGAAGCGAAAGCAUGGGGAGCGAACAGG
rnacentral:rRNA from 1 species